rnacentral:RNase_MRP_RNA from 2 species
UAGUUCCCUCGGGAAACACCGCGGAGCCACUAUCUGAGUCUCUCCAAUGACUCUUAUCGCUCUGAGGAAAGUCCCUGGACCCGUGGCAGAAAGUGCCGUAGCUUAACUUUGGCUAUUAUCCUUCGUCGUCAUCACGAACUUCAGGAGAGGAAGCCUCGGCUGAUCCUUCGCGAUGGGCGAGAGAGUAUUUGUCAAAGCAAAGUAAUGUGUGUUGGAGCGUUGUCUGUCCUUCUCUCUCGUCCGAGAAGAAGGCGACACGUUGAACCGAACAGGGCUUAUCGUACGAGGAAACG